rnacentral:rRNA from 1 species
GAUGAACGCUAGCGGCGUGCCUAAUGCAUGCAAGUCGAACGGGAACCUUUGGAAUUAUUCUGAAGGGGAGAGUGGCGAACGGGUGAGUAACACGUUGGUGACCUGCCCCAGAGAGGGGGAUAACCAUUGGAAACGAUGGCUAAUACCCCGGAUGUCAUUGUUGUUAGAGAUCAAUGACUAAAGCUCCGGCGCUCUGGGAGGGGCCUGCGGCCCAUCANCUUGUUGGUAGGGUAACGGCCUACCAAGGCGAAGACGGGUAGGGGGCGUGAGAGCGUGCCACCCCACACUGGUACUGA